ACGGACUUCUGGAGAGAUCUUGAAGCAGCCUUAGCUGCAAACAAGACACCGAAGGGGCAAGGGGUAACAACCGAAACUCUCAGGUAAAAGGACAGAAAG
rnacentral:ncRNA from 1 species